rnacentral:lncRNA from 1 species
AUUUUCACGUCACAGCCCACCAUCGAGGGAAAUCAGAGCAGGACCUGAAGCAGAGACUCUGGAAGUAUGCUGCUUACUGACUUGCUCUCUUGUGUCUGCUCAGCCUGCUUUCUUCAUAACUCAGUAUCAACUGCCUAGGGGAAACACUGCCCACAGUGGGCUGGGCCCUUCCACAUUAAUCACUAAUCAAGAAAAUGCCCCACAAGCCAAUCAGAUGGAGAAAUGUUCUCAAUUGAGGUUUCCUUUUUCCACAUGACUCUACCUUGUGUCAAGUUGACAAAAACUAAGCAAUGCAGUGACAUAAUCACAGGGCAUGGAUACCUUUAGGGCCACUCUCUGCAUCCAAUGGAACAGAGUGAGCAGAGAAGCUGGCUCUUUGGGGUUGGCAGAGCUUUGCUGGGCACAGGCUAGGUCUGGGUUAGGUCGUUGAGAGAAGAGCCUUGUCACGAAGUAUGAGACUGAUUCAGAUAGUGCAGAGAUAUGAGUCCUUAGCAUGGAACCGGGAAGGUUUACAGGCAUUGUCUGCUGGUUUUAGGAAUGUGUAAGAGUUCAGCUAACUAACAUCUUGAUUCGCAU